GUGCUCGCUUCGACAGCACAUAUAUUAAAAUUGGAAUGAUACAGAGAGGAUUAGCAUGGCCCCUGCACAAGGGUGACACAGAUUUGUGAAACGUUCCAUAUUUUU
rnacentral:snRNA from 1 species